CCUAUUGGUAAAACAAGCUAGAUCCCUGGGUGACAUAUAUUGGCUGUGUGGUGAUAUGCAACUUAGAUCUAGACUGGAAGGCCUGUGGUGGGGGGAGUGUGCCCUUGCCAAAGUUAUUAUGCACAUACACAUAAUAUCUGACAACCACCAAAGUACCUCUGACAUCCCCCGUACUUAUUUCAGGAUAAAGAGGAGCACCCCGGUAAAGGGCAGGUUUGACCCACACAUAUACAUUGUUGCCAUAAGGGUGCCAAGGGGGGUACCAAAUGAAUUCAAAGCAAGAUAUGAAGUUGCAGCAGAGUAUGAAUCCAUUCUCCCAAUCAUCACAGCCAAUAAGAAUUUGAAUUGGAUUAAUUAUAUCUAUUACAAUCAACAGCGCUUUGUUAAUUACACCAGAGAUGCCCUUCAAGGGCUGGCAGAGCAAUUACAAGCCAACUCCAAGAUGACCUUUCAGAAUAGAAUUGCCCUUGACAUGAUCUUAGCAGAAAAAGGUGUUAGUAUGCAAAAUACUUCCGGACACCAUGACAUGUUGUACUUUCAUCCCAGAUAAUACAGGCCCUACUGGUAAAGUGACCCUAGC